GGGAGCAUGGGGUAAUCAGGUAUCCUAGAGGGCUCCAGACCCUUAGAUCUGGGUUCAAAUCCCAGUGCUCCCA
rnacentral:tRNA from 3 species